CAGUCGCCGCGGGAAUACGAAGGGUGCAAGCGUUAAUCGGAGUUACUGGGCGUAAAGCGUGCGUAGGCGGUUUGUUAAGUCUGCUGUGAAAUCCCCGGGCUCAACCUGGGAAUGGCAGUGGAUACUGGCAAGCUAGAGUGUGUCAGAGGAUGGUGGAAUUCCCGGUGUAGCGGUGAAAUGCGUAGAGAUCGGGAGGAACAUCAGUGGCGAAGGCGGCCAUCUGGGACAACACUGACGCUGAGGCACGAAAGCGUGGGGAGCAAACAGGAUUAGAUACCCGCGUAGUCCCUGUCUCUUAUAU
rnacentral:rRNA from 1 species